rnacentral:rRNA from 1 species
UUACGGGAGGCAGCAGUGGGGAAUAUUGCGCAAUGGGGGAAACCCUGACGCAGCAACGCCGCGUGAAGGAUGAAGGUUUUCGGAUCGUAAACUUCUUUGAUUGGGGACGAAUAAAUGACGGUACCCAAAAAACAAGCCACGGCUAACUACGUGCCAGCAGCCGCGGUAAUACGUAGGUGGCGAGCGUUGUCCGGAAUUACUGGGUGUAAAGGGCGUGUAGGCGGGGAUAUAAGUCAGAUGUGAAAUACCGAGGCUUAACUUCGGGGCUGCAUCUGAAACUAUAUUUCUUGAGUGCUGGAGAGGAAAGCGGAAUUCCUAGUGUAGCGGUGAAAUGCGUAGAUAUUAGGAGGAACACCAGUGGCGAAGGCGGCUUUCUGGACAGUAACUGACGCUGAGGCGCGAAAGCGUGGGGAGCAAACAGGAUUAGAUACCCUGGU